rnacentral:rRNA from 1 species
AACGAACGCUGGCGGCAUGCCUAACACAUGCAAGUCGAACGAGACCUUCGGGUCUAGUGGCGCACGGGUGCGUAACGCGUGGGAACCUGCCCUUAGGUUCGGAAUAACUCCCCGAAAGGGGUGCUAAUACCGGAUAAUGUCUUCGGACCAAAGAUUUAUCGCCUUUGGAUGGGCCCGCGUUGGAUUAGCUAGUUGGUAGGGUAAAAGCCUACCAAGGCGACGAUCCAUAGCUGGUCUGAGAGGAUGAUCAGCCACACUGGGACUGAGACACGGCCCAGACUCCUACGGGAGGGAGCAGUGGGGAAUAUUGGACAAGGGGCGAAAGCCUGAUCCAGCAAUGCCGCGUGAGUGAUGAAGGCCGUAGGGUUGUAAAGCUCUUUUACCCGGGAUGAUAAUGACAGUACCGGGAGAAUAAGCUCCGGCUAACUCCGUG